UGUGAACUGCGUUAGGGAUUGCCGCGACAUCCUUUUUUAGAACACAAUAGCUACAAACUUUGCCUUAAAUUACAAUUUAACUGUAAGCGAUAACCUUUGCUCCUAAAAUGCGUUCUAAAAAAGAUAUAGCAAAAAGCCCGACCCUUG
rfam:Arenitalea lutea strain CGMCC 1.12213 genome assembly, contig: Ga0079849_103